rnacentral:rRNA from 1 species
UACAGAGGGUGCGAGCGUUAAUCGGAAUUACUGGGCGUAAAGCGCACGUAGGUGGCGACGUAAGUCGGGUGUGAAAGCCCCGGGCUCAACCUGGGAAUUGCAUUCGAGACUGCAUAGCUAGGAUGCGGAAGAGGGAAGCGGAAUUUCCGGUGUAGCGGUGAAAUGCGUAGAUAUCGGAAGGAACACCAGUGGCGAAAGCGGCUUCCUGGUCCAGCAUCGACGUUCAGGCACGAAAGCGUGGGGAGCAAACAGG